ensembl:lncRNA
UCUCUUCACCACGACCAACAACAACAACAACAACAUCAACGUCAGGAGAAAGACGGCGAGCGGAGAGCGAGGUGAAGCUACGUCCCUCGACUAUGUGUGCGUGAUGCUAACAGGAGCGCGGCGAAUGCGAAUGGCGCUAUUGGCUGAUUCGAUAACGGAGAGAAGACGCCGUCGCCGAAGCUUGUGGAGCAUCAGCUGUAAGAUGCCUGGGUGAGCUCAUGACGCUAACGUGCUCAGCCAGACACGCCUGUUAGCAGAAGAACCGAGAGAAAUCGCUCACUUCCUGUUGGGAAGCUGUGGAUCCCAACUGGUCAGUGGAAGCGGCCACACUGGCAUCGAACCUGCCACAGCCAGGUGGUCGUGCCAACAACCGUGGACAGAGGA